UACGGAGGGUGCAAGCGUGUCCGGAUUUAUUGGUUUAAAGGGUGCGUAGGCGGAUGAAUAAGUCCGAGGUGAAAGACGGUCGCUUAACGAUCACAGUGCCUUGGAUACUGUUUAUCUUGAGUACAGAAUGGAGGCUGAUGGAAUGGGUGGUGUAGCGGUGAAAUGCAUAGAUACCAUCCAGAACACCGAUUGCGAAGGCAGUCAGCUAAACUGGCACUGACG
rnacentral:rRNA from 1 species